CAGACCUGAAAUCAGGCGAGGUUACCCGCUGAACUUAAGCAUAUUAUUAAGCGGAGGAGAAGAAAAUAACUAUGAUUCCCUUAGUAACGGCGAGUGAACCGGGAUCAGCUCAAAGUGGAAAUCAACUGCUCUUUCCGAGCUGUUGACUUGUAGCCUCGAGAGGCGUUACCAGUGGAAGCGCAGGGUUAAGUUUCUUGGGAAAGAACAUCAUAGAGGGUGAGAAUCCCGUCUUCCCCUGCGUUUUUUGUUCCACGUACGGUACGCUUUUAUAGAGUCGCGUUCAUCGGGAUUUGAGCGCAAAAUGUGUGGUAGGUUUCACAUAAAGCUAAGUACUGGCGCGAGACCGAUAGCAAACAAGUACCGUGAGGGAAAGAUGAAAAGUUCUUUGGAAAGAGAGUUAAAAGUGCCUGAAAUUGCUGAAAAGGAAGCGAUUGGGACCUUU
rnacentral:rRNA from 1 species